UACGUAGGGUGCGAGCGUUUGUCCGGAAUUAUUGGGCGUAAAGAGCUUGUAGGUGGUUUGUCGCGUCUGCUGUGAAAAUCCGAGGCUCAACCUCGGACUUGCAGUGGGUACGGGCAGACUAGAGUGUGGUAGGGGAGACUGGAAUUCCUGGUGUAGCGGUGGAAUGCGCAGAUAUCAGGAGGAACACCGAUGGCGAAGGCAGGUCUCUGGGCCAUUACUGACACUGAGAAGCGAAAGCCAUGGGGAGCGAACAGG
rnacentral:rRNA from 1 species